rnacentral:snRNA from 1 species
ACCGUAGACAUGGUCGACUCGGGUCAAAGGUAGUAUCUGUUAUUAUCAGCUUAAUAACUGAUACGGGUUGUAUUUGGACCCAAGAUAUUAAACUUAGUUUUGCAAGUUGGCGGAGUGCUUGAAUCCUGCUUCACCUUCACCGCGAGUCGGCCCGAUAUUGCACAAUCGUCGGAGUUUUGGUCUACGGAC